GACAGAGGGUGCUAGCGUUGUUCGGAAUUACUGGGCGUAAAGGGCGCGUAGGCGGUCUGUUAAGUUCGGUGUGAAAGCCCUCGGCUCAACCGAGGAAGUGCGCCGGAUACUGGCAGACUUGAGUACUGGAGAGGAGGGUGGAAUUCCUGGUGUAGCGGUGAAAUGCGUAGAUAUCAGGAGGAACACCGGUGGCGAAGGCGGCCCUCUGGACGAGUACUGACGCUGAGGCGCGAAAGCGUGGGGAUCAAACAGG
rnacentral:rRNA from 1 species